GCUGGCGUAGCUCAGUUGGUAGAGCAGCUGAUUUGUAAUCAGCAGGUCGGGGGUUCGAAGCCCUUCGCCAGCUCCA
rnacentral:tRNA from 1 species